CGUUGGCAGUAGACCAAAGGAAUACAAUAGAAGAAAUGAAAAGACAACUACACACAAAGACCAACAAACAACGAAUGUGCAAAGGGUGACAAGCUGCAAAUACAAAAAAUACAGAUCAGACUGAGUUCCUCCAGCAUUUUGGGUGUGUUGCUCAGAUCAAAUUGAAACCUGGAAUGGAAGUUUGAUGUAGAUACUGUCGUAAUAACAACACACUACAAAUUCAGCAUGUUGAAAAGAUUGAACUUUAAAUCAGAUGCUACCUGACAAGACAUAUUUGGCAUUUUCAGUUUUAGUAUCACUACUUUCACUAGCAUAUUGGCAAAAAUGAUAAGGCACUGUUUUCAGACCAGGAAAGAAAACUACAGGAAAAUAAAACUGGACACGCCCCUCUGCUGACUGCUCCUUCCACAGACCCCUGUAUCAAGGCGAUUGUGUCACUGCUCCUCCCACAGUCCAAGGCGGUCAUCCAGCAUGGAAGUGGUCCAUUUU